rnacentral:rRNA from 1 species
GAUGAACGCUGGCGGCGUGCCUAAUACAUGCAAGUCGAGCGAACAGACGAGGAGCUUGCCCCUCUGACGUUAGCGGCGGACGGGUGAGUAACACGUGGAUAACCUAUCUAUAAUACUGGGAUAACUUCGUGAAACCGGAGCUAAUACCGGAUAAUAUAUUGAACCGCAUUGUUCAAUAGUGAAAGACGGUUUUGCUGCUACUUAUAGAUGGACCCGCGCCGCAUUAGCUAGUUGGUAAGGUAACGGCUUACCAAGGCAACGAUGCGUACCCGACCUGAGAGGGAGCUUGGCUCAGCUGAAAGUGGGAAACGACCCUCACUCAGUCGGGCGGCAGCCGUCGAGAAGCUUGCGCACUGGUUGAAAGCUUGACAGAGCAGCGCAGCUACAGUGAUGAUGGUACUCGCAUACUAAAACCCUGUUAUUCUGGAAGAACAAAUGUGUAAGUCCCUAUGCACGUAUUGACGGGACCUGAUCAGAAAGCCACGGCUAACUACGUG